CGACUUAGCUCAGUUGGUAGAGCAACUGCCUUGUAAUCAGUAGGUCACCAGUUCGAUUCCGGUAGUCGGC
rnacentral:tRNA from 1 species